AAGUCGUAACAAGGUUUCCGUAGGUGAACCUGCGGAAGGAUCAUUAAAGAAUCGCCCCGUUUUUUGAAAUGGGUUCUAUUCCCAAACCGUGUAUACAUACCUUUGUUGCUUUGGCGGGCCGCCUUCGGGCGUUGGCUUCCAGCUGACUGCGCCCGCCAGAGGACCCAAACUCGUUUGUUUAGUGAUGUCUGAGUACUAUAUAAUAGUUAAAACUUUCAACAACGGAUCUCUUGGUUCUGGCAUCGAUGAAGAACGCAGCGAAAUGCGAUAAGUAAUGUGAAUUGCAGAAUUCAGUGAAUCAUCGAAUCUUUGAACGCACAUUGCGCCCCUUGGUAUUCCGAGGGGCAUGCCUGUUCGAGCGUCAUUAUAACCAUUCAAGCCUUGGCUUGGUAUUGGGGUUUCGCGGUUCUGCGGCCCUUAAAAUCAGUGGCGGUGCCGUCUGGCUCUAAGCGUAGUAAUUCUCUCGCUAUAGGGCUCCGGUAGUUGCUUGCCAAAACCCCCCUAUUUCUCACGGUUGACCUCGGAUCAGGUAGGGAUACCCGCUGAACUUAA
rnacentral:rRNA from 1 species